rnacentral:rRNA from 1 species
AUUGAACGCUGGCGGCAGGCCUAACACAUGCAAGUCGAGCGGAUGAAGGGUGCUUUCUCCUGGAUUCAGCGGCGGACGGGUGAGUAAUGCCUAUGAAUCUGCCUGGUAGUGGUUUAUAACGUCUUGAAACGGCCGCUAAUACCGCAUACUUCCUGAGGGUGAAAGUUGGGGAUCUUCGGACCUCACGCUAUCAGAUGAGCCUAGGUCGGAUUAGAUAGUUUGUGGGGUAAAGGCCUACUAAGGCGACGAUCCGUAACUGGUCUGAGAGGAUGAUCAGUCACCCUGGAACUGAAACACGGUCAAGACUACUGAGGGAGGCAGCAGAGGGGAAUAUUGGACAAUGGGCGAAAGCCUGAUCCAGCAAUGCCAAGUGUGUGAAGAAGGUGUUCGGAUUGUAAAGCCCUUCAAGUUGGGAGGAAGGGCAGUAAGUUAAUACCUAGCUGUUUUGACGUUAACAACAGAAGAAGCACCGGCUAACUUCGUG